rnacentral:rRNA from 1 species
GACGAACGCUGGCGGCGUGCCUAAUACAUGCAAGUAGAACGCUGAAGGAGGAGCUUGCUUCUCUGGAUGAGUUGCGAACGGGUGAGUAACGCGUAGGUAACCUGCCUGGUAGCGGGGGAUAACUAUUGGAAACGAUAGCUAAUACCGCAUAAGAGUAGAUGUUGCAUGACAUUUGCUUAAAAGGUGCAAUUGCAUCACUACCAGAUGGACCUGCGUUGUCUUAGCUAGUUGGUGGGGUAACGGCUCACCAAGGAGACGAUACAUAGCCGACCUGAGAGGGUGAACGGGCACCCUGGGACCGGAACCAGGCCCCGACCCCUACGGGGAGCAGCAGUAGGGAAUCUUCCGCAAUGGACGGAAGUCUGACCGAGCAACGGCGCGUGAGUGAAGAAGGUUUUCGGAUCGUAAAGCUUUGUUUUAAGGGAAGAACGAAUGUGAGAGUGGAAAGUUCACACUGUGACGGUACCUUACCAGAAAGGGACGGCUAACCACGUG